rnacentral:rRNA from 1 species
UGGGGAAUAUUGGACAAUGGGCGAAAGCCUGAUCCAGCAACGCCGCGUGAGGGAUGACUGCCUUCGGGUUGUAAACCUCUUUCAGCAGGGACGAAGCGAAAGUGACGGUACCUGCAGAAGAAGCACCGGCCAACUACGUGCCAGCAGCCGCGGUAAUACGUAGGGUGCAAGCGUUGUCCGGAAUUAUUGGGCGUAAAGGGCUCGUAGGCGGUUUGUCACGUCGGGAGUGAAAACUCGGGGCUUAACCCCGAGCCUGCUUCCGAUACGGGCAGACUAGAGGUAUGCAGGGGAGAACGGAAUUCCUGGUGUAGCGGUGAAAUGCGCAGAUAUCAGGAGGAACACCGGUGGCGAAGGCGGUUCUCUGGGCAUUACCUGACGCUGAGGAGCGAAAGUGUGGGGAGCGAACAGG